rnacentral:rRNA from 1 species
AUUGAACGCUGGCGGCAGGCCUAACACAUGCAAGUCGGGAGAGCGGCGGACGGGUGCGUAAUGUAUGGGGAUCUGCCUGAUGGGGGGGGAUAACUACUUGAAACGGUAGCUAAUACCGAAUACCCUCAGAUGAACCACUAUGGGAUUAGAUUGUAGGUGAGGUAACGGCUCACCUAGGCGACGAUCCCUAGCUGGUCUGAGAGGAUGAUCAGCCACAUGGUGACGGAGACACGGCCCAGACUCCUACGGGAGGCAGCAGGGGGGAAUAUUGCACAAUGGGGUCAAUCCUGAUGCAGCCAUGCCGCGUGUAUGAAGAAGGCCUUCGGGUUGUAAAGUACUUUCAGUGGUGAGGCGUUACCCUCAGAAGAAGCACCGGCUAACUCCGUGCAAGCAGCCGCGGUAAUAC